AAUAUAUAUUAGGCCUACUCACGUAAUAGUAUAGGACAGUAUACGACACAGUGUAAGCGCAACUUAAAGAUGUCUGCCAUCUAGCGGUGAUAUUACAAACUAAAACAAGAGUUGACCCCUGCAUUUUCGCAGUUCAGCACCCACAGAUUUUGGAAACACAUACAGGUACAUGUAUUUUUUUUUUCACAUUUGGUGCCAUUUGAAAACCAGUGGGCGUGCAACUCCUCAACUCAACAGCAGAUGGCAGCCUGUUUCCAUUGUUGACGCUGUCGUUCUCCUUCCAGAACUCACAGUCCAGCGUGAGCAAUGCAUUCCCAGUACUCUACUAAAGUCUUUUUCAGCUGCCCGCUUCCAUGGCCAAACCAGGGAGCGAACGUGGCCACUUGGCACCAUGAGAACCGCAACCGCCAUGUGAGGUCUCCAAUGCCCGGGUGCCCAGUCUUGACCGAUGAUCUGCAUACAACACACCUUGGUGAUGGUUGAAUGGCCAGGCGUGGUUUUCAAGGCCCGUGUCCCUUCCUCACGGGCGUGCGAUGAUAGGACUAUCAGUCGCAGGCUCCGCAGUAAAAAGGACAGGAUCCCCUGUACUUUUGUGUCUAUUGCAGAUAAUGGCCUUUCCUCACUUGACAGCAUGUCUUUGCCGAGCCGGAGCACAGUGCAACCAAUGCUUAAGUGUAUCAGGGUGACAAAGUGAUGCCAGAUUCAGUGGUGUCGCAGCCCCGUCAUGUUGUGACACCGCUGACAGCUUGCGGUGUUAAGGACGGGGGGUGGGGGGGGGGGGGGUUGAAUGGAGUUAGAAUAGAUGGUGCAGAAAAGACCCAACUUCCAGAACAACACUUUCGCUAAGAAUCAUGAUCUGUAACACCAGCUGGAACCACUAGAAAGACAGAGAAAAGCAGCAGGAGGACUCUUGGAAGGGAAAGAUACA